UGGGCAAAACCAAGCUGUCGAGUGCUUAUCUUUGCAGACGAGCGGCAACAAGAAAUGACCGGCCCUCGCUUUGGUGGCACUGGCGGCGUGCACGGUCCAUAGAGAUGCCUUCGAAGGGAUUUCGAGCAUAGGAGGCAACAUCGUUUAAUCACUAUUGGCGAGCUGCCCAGGCGGCAAAAUUCGAAGGCGCCACCAGACAUGACGAAGAAAGCGAAGCCUCAGCGACCGACGACCGUGGACUCAAGAGUCGCCUGGCCGCCGGGUUACCUACCAAGUACCAGCCUGGCUCCGCGGGGCUACCCACGCAGCUUAACCCUUUCGACGAUUUGUUUGGCUGCACUCUAGAAGAGCCCUUCGGCAAGCGCCGGGCGUCGGCCGCCGGGGAGCACGCCGCUCGCCUGCGAGAGAAACCACCCCCCGAGGCACAAAACUGGAAUUUACUCGUAACAGCCGCGAGUGCGUGGCGCCUCUAGCUUGCCUCCGAGGCCCCGAAGAAUAAUUGAUGUCACGUAUCAACGUAACGUUGCUGCUAUCUUGCC